GACGAACGCUGGCGGCGUGCUUAACACAUGCAAGUCGAACGGAAAGGCCCUGCUUGCAGGGUACUCGAGUGGCGAACGGGUGAGUAACACGUGGGUGAUCUGCCCUGCACUUCGGGAUAAGCCUGGGAAACUGGGUCUAAUACCGGAUAGGAGCCAUUUUUAGUGUGAUGGUUGGAAAGUUUUUUCGGUGUAGGAUGAGCUCGCGGCCUAUCAGCUUGUUGGUGGGGUAAUGGCCUACCAAGGCGGCGACGGGUAGCCGGCCUGAGAGGGUGGACGGCCACAUUGGGACUGAGAUACGGCCCAGACUCCUACGGGAGGCAGCAGUGGGGAAUAUUGCAUAAUGGGCGCAAGCCUGAUGCAGCGACGCCGCGUGGGGGAUGACGGCCUUCGGGUUGUAAACUCCUUUCGCUAGGGACGAAGCUUUUUGUGACGGUACCUAGAUAAGAAGCACCGGCUAACUACGUG
rnacentral:rRNA from 1 species